rnacentral:lncRNA from 1 species
AUCAAUCAAAUAGUUAAGCCAAUUGCAUUCACGAUUCAAGAGUUCAUAACUGGAAUUUAUCAAAUUAUAUUGCACACAUAAUCAUGGCUUUGAAAUCACCCCUAGCCAAAAAGGGGUUUAGCCACUCAUAUUUACAACAAAACGAAAGGAAAUGAACUUAAACAUUAGAAACAAAAGAAAGAAAACACCUAAACGCUCCAACGAUCCAAGUUGAACAGGAAGCACGUCGAAGCACUUUCCUUCCCUUCCUUUGCUACGGCACAAGGUGUUGGUGAGUGUUUGAAGGUUUGUUUGUAUGGAAGAAUGGAUGUGAAGAUGAAUGGAUGUGUUUGGAUGAAGGUUGUGUUGAAAUGGGAGUGAAUGAUCUAACCAAGUAUGAACCCAAUUUAUGUUACACACACUUCCUUUUAUAGAGGAAGUGCAAGGCAAAGCAUGGGUAAAAUGGAGUGGUGUUGAAAUGAUUCAAAGGUGAAAGUGAAUUAAUGAUGCAAAGCAUGGGUAAAAUGAAGUGGUGUUGAAAUGAUUCAAAGGUGAAAGUGAAUUGAUGAUUGAUGCAAGAAUUAAACAUGGAUGGAAUGCAUGGCAAAGGUUUGUUAUGGUACAAGGAACCCUUAAUUUGUGUCUUAAAAUGCAUGUGAAACCUUCAAUGUUGCUGGAACUUAGGGACAUUUAGGAUUUAGGAAAGAUCAAACCAAAAUAGGAAACCUUGGCUUAACUUUCCUACUUCAAGUAGGAAUCCUCAUCUUUAGGUCUUCAAUUUCGUCCAUUCCUUUAGUUCCAAGCAUGUGAUAUUUAUUCCAAGCCCAAAAUUGCUCCAAAAGGCUCCAAAAUGCACAUUUUUGCAUACUUUGUCCUUAGAACCUGAAAUUGCACAAAAAUGACUUUAAACACUAAAACAACUAAGGAAUAACAACAUAAAUGCAUGAGAACAAGCUAACUCAGUCGCAUAAAUAUACUCCUAUCAUAUACCGUUAAUCAUUUUGGUCAUUCCAUAAUAAACCUCGUUAAAUUGAGCGUAUUUUUGUCAAAUGAAUCAUCUCCACUUGAACUGAUGGUUUCUUCAACUUAACGGAAUUUUUUUUAUAUAAUGACUAAACUGACUGACGGUGGACAGUCUCAAAAACCAUUUCUAUUGAUUUUAAAUCUUAGAUACCAAUGCAGAGAGUUAUACUAAUCUCAAAGACCAUUUUAACUAAAAAGCCUUAAAAAAUUUCAAAUUUUAGAUUCUAUAGAUCAAUUUGGAGAUCAGUUUGAGUUCUUGUAUUCCAAGCAGCCAAAUUACCAUUUACCAGAGGUAAAACUUUCUCAUCUUCCCCGACCCCCGUUCCCUACAACCCACCCAUUUCUUCUCCCUCCCGUCUUCCCUAAUGGGUGUGGAUUUAAGAAGUGGGGUGUGUAGAGGAGGGAAGAGGGUGCGGUGAGUUUGGGGAAGAUAGGAGCAUAUUUAUGAAAGAUAGGAGCAUAUUUAUGAAAGAUAGGAGCAUAUUUUUGCACGUGGCACACAUUUGGCAGCCACGUUAACGCUUAACAGAUCAAUGGAUGAAAAAUGUAACGGAUGUAUUAUUUUGAAAUAAAAUAGUACGUGAAGCAUGAAAAUGAAAUAUUUUAAAGAUGUUGUAUGAGAUUGUCAUAAACUUCAAAGCUGAAUGGCUACUAUGUAAUUUAUGUAAGCUCAUACAAUUUUCAAAAUAAAUUAAAUUAUAAAGAAUAAAAAAAGGGAGACCAUCCCAGCCAGUGAAACCGACCGAGAGCGAUCCUCUACCGCUGGAUGGAACCGAGGAACUAUCAGCUGUUAAUCACGCUCUGAUAGCAGAGUCAUGAUUAAUCCCCCAGGCUAGGGUUCCUCUGUUCUCCUUGGAGAUCAAGGAUACAUAAGUACAAUCCUAUUAAACAGAUCCUGUUCAAGUAAUGUCGGUUACUUACUGGCAAGUGAAGCUAUAUAAACCACAUCACUUCCUUGCGAGUAGUCGAUGUGGGUCUCUUUGGCACUAUGUUUUAUUCAUUCACUCACUGAUUUGAACCUCCUUUGUGCACAAAACUGAGAAUACAGUCUCUCUAGCUUUUCUAGAUUUCAAGUCCUGGUCUUAAUCUUUCAAGAUUUCUUCCCGUUUCCAUGUUUUCCAACGUUUCGAGUUCUCGUCUCUCCACUCCAAGCUUGCUCUUCUACUUCGAACCCAUCACUUGAAAUCCCACUACCACCACAUCGCCCCCUCUCUUUUUUCUUCUUCUUCUUUGUCAAGCUCGGUGCUGCUGCAUUCGUGCCAGAACCUCCCGACCCUGAAACACGUCCAGGCUCGUAUCCUGGUCUCAACUGGGAUCCAGCCCUCUUCCCAUUUUUCAAAGUUAUUCACUCUGUACGCUCGUUUCGAUGACCUCGAUAGCGCCGUUUCAGUUUUCGGUUCGAUUCGAGAACCAAAUACCAUGUUGUGGAAUUUAAUGAUGAAGUCCCAUGUCGAAUGUGGUCUUGUUGAUUUGGCUCUGUUGCUGUACAAGAAGAUGCGUGAGUUGGGUGUUUCGCAUGAUUGCUUUACUUUCCCGAUUGUAAACAAGGUGGUUAUGUUGCUCGGGGGUGAAGUUAGGUAUGCGGGAAUGGUUCAUUGUGUGGCCAUUCAAAUGGGUUUUGGAAUGGAUGUGUAUUUUGGUAAUACAAUGAUUGAUAUGUAUGUGAAAUGCGGAGAAAUUGAUCGUGCUCGUAAGUUGUUUGAUGAAAUGUGUCAAAGAGAUUUGGUUUCGCGGACAUCGAUGAUUUCCGGCUAUAUGUUUCGGAAGGGAAUGUUGCCUGUGGGUUGAGUUUGUUCAAUGAAAUGAGGUUGGAGUUGGAACCGAAUUCCGUUACUAUGUUGACCAUGUUGCAAGGAUGUUGUGGCACUGAAAAUGCAAUUUGUGGAAGUCAGUUUGACGGUUAUGUGAUUAAGAACGAUUUACUGUGAUGCAUCUGUGCAGAACUCAAUCUUGAGAAUGUAUGCUAAAUUAGGUACAAUCAACGAAGUUGAAGACUUUUUCAGCGAACUCGAUAGAAGGGAUGUAGUCUCCUGGAAUAUCUGCAUUUCCUUUUUUUCUUCGAUAGGGGAUGUUGCGAAAGUAAGAGAGUAGUUCAAUGAUAUGCAGGGCAAAGUGGCGCCGGGCGUUGAGACAUUAACUUUGGUUAUAUCAGCAUUGACCAAACAUGGGAUUCUUUCCCAAGGUGAAAGCUUGCAUUGUUUGGCGAUAAAACGUGGGCUUUGUGAUCACGUUUUGCAGACAUCUUUGUUAGACCUCUAUGCCAAGUGUGGAGAAUUAGGAAUCUCAGAUAGGCUGUUCAGAGAAAUCCCUCACAGGAACAGCAUUACUUGGGGUGCUAUGAUGUUUGGCUUCAUUCAAAAUGGUUGGUUUAGUGAAGCUGUUGGACUCUUUCGCGAAAUGCAAGCUUUGGGUCCGGAACCAACGGCUGAGAUACUAAGAAGCCUCGUUGAUGCAUUUGCAAACCUAGGUGCUUUGAAGUUGGGAAAACAAAUUCAUGGCUACAUCAUAAGGAAAUCAUUGUAUGAAGACGAGGAGAGCUAUACUCAUCUCGAAACCUCCAUAAUAAACAUGUACAUAAGAAGUGGUAGUCUAUCUGCAGCUAGAGUGUGUUUGAUAGAAUGUUGGUCAAAGAUAUAGUGACUUGGACAUCAAUGAUCGAGGGCUAUGGGAGCCACGGACUUGGUUUUGAAGCCUUGAAACUAUUUGACCUGAUGAUUAGAGAAGGAAUAAGACCAAAUAGUGCCACCUUCAUAAGCUUGUUAUCUGCUUGUAGCCAUUCCGGUCUUGCGACUGAAGGUUGUGAUGCUUUUUGUUCCUUGAAAUGGAAGUUUGGUAUCGAACCUGAUUUAGACCAUUACACUAGCAUUGUUGAUCUCUUGGGUCGAUUUGGGAAGCUUAAAGAGGCCUUAGCUGUCAUUAUGAAAAUGAUGACUUUUCCGGAUAGUAGGAUUUGGGGUGCUCUUCUUUCAGGAUGUAGAAUUUACAGUCUCAGACAGAGAUGUUGGGGAGCAUGCUGCUCAGAGGCUCUUGGAACUAGAACCUGAUAACGCUAGGUACCAUACUCUGUUGAGUAACACACAAGCUAGUGUCGGACAGUGGGAUGAAGUAGAAGUGACGAGGAGAGUUAUGAGCGAGAUGGAUCUAAAGAAGAUGCCAGGGUGGAGCUGCCAGGAUGCAAUAGGGAUUGAUUUGAAUUUGCUGAUCAGCUAACUUGACAUGUUAAUUGACGGAUAUAGCUGCCUACUCGAAGGGACAAUGGUUUGUGAUACUAUCAGGACUUUGCUUCGCAGCGAUAGCAGCACGGUAGCAAAAUCCAAGUGGUUAGUCAGAAGUUGAGAAGAUGAGUGCCAAGUUAGUUUUAAGAUGGUGAGGCACAAGAAAGGGAAGGCCCUUUGGGUUUGUUUCUGGCUUUUGGAGAUCGAUCUCACGCCAUCAAGUGGGAUGCGAUUCAUUAAGUUUGGAUGCUUAAGUAGGAAAACAAGCGGUUGCAGAUUCUUGAUGUGAUACAGCCUUUUCUAUUGGCGUUGGGUUAUGCCAAUCAAAGGAGAAGAGGAAAAGAGUGCGGAAAUCAUUACUCAUUUAAAUACCGUCUCCGUAGAAAUUAAGACUAUGAAAUAGACCCCAAGUGUAUUGAAGAGAUGGUAAUCAUCAUGUGUAACACAUACCCAUGUAAACCAAAAACUUUUACAUGCGUCUCUUGUACUUGGCAUAAUCUGAUACCGGUCGUAUAGACGAAAUACGGGAAACCAGAAAUUAGCAACCAAACGCUAAGCUUGCCACGGAAAUCUCUACUUACAAAUGGUUCUAUAAUUUCGUCUAAGCAAGUCAUCUCUAUGAAGGAUUCUUCGUUAUCCACUUCGUUGUUCGAGCACCUAGACCUGGUAGCAUCUGCAAAACUAUUUAAUCGUUUCAUUCAGAUAUCAGGACAAGAGGUCGCACUUGGUGCGAUAGCAAGUGCCUUCGCCCAUGAGCGGUAGGUCUCGGGUUCGAGACUUGGGAGCAGCCUCUCCAUAAAUGGGGGUAAGGCUAGCUGACAUUCACCUCUCCCAGACCCUGCGUAAAGCGGGAGCCUUGUGCACUGGGUACGACCUUUAUCAGAUAUCAGGACAACCAAGACUGAAACAAGUAUCAACUUAUAAUUCCAACAGAAUUUAAUUCAAAUAACAAUUUGAUAACAAUCACCAACUCAAAAGACCCGAAGCAGAAGAUGCCCAGCCAGCACAAUGCCAUUCGAACAUAGUGAGGAAAAAAGAGAGCUCGAAUGAGAUGAAAAACUAACGAUAAUUUAUAGAUUCACCUCUCAAAAAUGAGUACCUAUAAAUUUAAGUUUCUCGAAUCUGAUCAGCCAAGAAAGCAACAAAUUUCUGCAAUAUGUUCAUACACAAAAGAUCCUUGGAUACUAAAUUAAAGUAGAGAGCACUCCCAACCACUACUUUCGAUCCAAAAGAACAGAUGAGAAAAAUUAUGUAAGGCUUUAUGUAUUUCUCAGUCGAUCAAUAGCAUCAUUCAUUUCUUUAAAUAAGUAAAAUAAAGAUAUUGUACCUGAAAUAAUUGAGACAGUCUUUACAGCCUUCUACUUGCCUUUGAGAUAAUGUAAAUCCAACUUCAGUAAAAUCUUCUGCAAGAACAAAUAAAAAAUACCAAGAGAUCUAGUUCAGGAUCACUUGCUAAAUUUAGACGAGGUUUUCAUGAAGAAUUAAACUUUAAUAGGAAAAUGCACAGUUCGACCAAUCCCAGAUUGAGACUUAUGUGCUACUUAGAUCCAUCUAAUUAAAUUUUCCUACAAGUAAAACUACGAAACCAAUAUGAUUUGAGCAAACCCCAUCAACAACAAUACUCUACUAUAGAGCAAUGUAAUUACAAAGUAAAUAGUCUUGGGAAGGACAAAUAUGAUGAAGAAGAAAUUUGAACGCAAUUAAUACAAAAGAAAACAACGGACAUAAAAUCAAUUACUCAACUCAUCAAAGUCACAUUCCAGCUACUUGACGUGCCAUUGAUUUCACGAAUCAAUAAGCUGAAGUGCCUAUACUGUGGUUAUAGAUGAAUCAGUUUACCAGUUUGCCAUUGAUUUCACGCAUCAAUAACUUGGAGUUAUCAACAACGCAUUUGCUUUCAUAAACUAUAUAACUACACAGUUCAUGCCUGGGUGCUGGCUUGAGCGAUUUUAAUUCAACAAGGGGAUCUCUAAUCUGAGACUUGCUCAAGAUCUCCCUUGCUGGCUGGACAUGAUUCCACCAAAAAUCCGAGAGAACUAUUUUCAGAACAUCCCAGUAUUCUGCAUCCCGAUAUACCCUGAACAGGCUGCUCCCUUUAGGAGUCCAAACAUAGAAAUCCAUCCAAUCCCUGUCAAGUAUUUCCAUUAAACCCUGAGCCUGUGGAACACAGUAUAGAGGAAUUCGUGACCAAGGGGUAGCCUUCGUCAUAUUUCCAUAAAAAAAUGGACAUUUAAUCUCCAAUACUCCUCGUGAAGGCAAUCCGUAUACCAGCCUAUCAAUCACCCCAUCCGGUGAAGCUCCCAACCAAUCCUCUCCAACAUUCCUAUUACCAUAAACUUGAAAUUCAGGAAACAAAACGGAAUUUCCUGUUAUCAGCUUGUAUCUUUCAAGUGCUUCCUCUUCUUUGAUAUUGCUCCAACACGUAGCCAAAUUACCAGAAAAUGGCUCAAGGGCUCCAAUCUUCUCUAGCCAAAGCUGGAGUCGUCUGCGAUGAAAUAAACCAACCGCUGCAGCAAAAGUACUUGCUGUCAGUUUAUUUUUUCUGAGUCCUUGCCAAUUUUUGAACCAGUGCUGAAGACCACUUGAAUUAAGAACAGAAUAACCUUCAGAAGAAGCAAAUCUCAUAGAACAACGAGAAUGGUUGAGAACUUGUCUGCGGUUGGCAAACAUAAUAGGAGCCAGAACUGAAAAGAAAUAGUUGAUGUAGCUUCUCCGACUAGUAGAAUCUGUUCUGUAACAAGAAAACAUUUUUAUUUUCUGGCAAUCCCAAUAAAACCUACGAAUGUGAUACUUGCAAUUCUUGUGUAUUGACAGGUGAACAAAAAGGGCAAGCAAGAAGCAAAUAUCUCAGCUCAUGGAAAACAAAUGCAAGGCCAAAGACAUACCAAUUGCUACACAACAAAUGAGAGUGUCGGUAUAAGAAAUGCAAACUUAUGCAUACACACACGAACACGAAUAUCCACAAAAUCGCUGAUAUAUUCUCAAUAUAGAUAAACGGGGGUGGGGGGUUGAAGCGCAUAUCUUCCCUAUAACGGCGACGGUGGCUGCGAAUUUCAGAGAAACUAGAAUUUACGCAGGAAAUAUCCACAAGAAGAGCCCCCAGAAUCCUAAAGUUUAGCCCUAACUGGCGAUUCAUAAUCUAAUUCUCCCAAAUUCAAACCCUAAUAUUUCAGUGACCCAGAAAACUAACACCAUAGAAUUAAAAGGAAUCAAAAUCAAUCACUGAGCAUGCCAAAAAACAAAAAGUGGAGCCACUAGUUGCAGAAGAGACGGGGAGAGAGAUUCAGAGACGUACCAAGAGGGGAAGGGGAAGGGGAAGGACACUGGUGAGAGGUUGAAGAAGAUCCUGCGGCAGCAUUAGAUGGUUGAGGCUGGAGAGAUUUUGGAAUUUGUUAACUGCGUCCGGGUGGGCAAGUCUUAGGGUUUAAGCUGGGGUUUUGGUUUUUAAUAUUUUUAAUUUUUAAAAUUGGGCGUUGGGUUUUGCUUUUUUUUUGUUUUUGUUUUUUGAAGAAACAAUAGCAUUCAUUGAUGGAAUGGAGCCAAAAACAUCCCCAUUAUAAGUAGUACAUCAGAGAUUACAAUUUGAUAGAGGGACCAUUUACAGGCAGUCCUCAACAAGAUCCAAGAUGAAAGUAGGUGGGCUUGAGAGCCAUUCGCAGUGGUUGCCAAUCGACAAGCUAAACCGAGCUAGGUGAUGGGCUACAAUGUUAGCUUGGCGUCGAAUAUGGGAAUAUAAGUCUUUAGUGAUUGAAGGGAGAAGAGCCCUUGUACCCUCCAUGAUCUGGCCAAUGGAUGACCGGUUAGGGGAGAGGUUCGCUAGCGCACCCAUAAUUUGAAGAGAAUCACCUUCCAUUACCCUGGUGGGGCGGGGCGGACAGUGAGCGAAAGAUCCAUUGGCUUUCUUGGGAUAAGUUAUGCCUCCCAAAAUCAGAGAGGGGUUUGGGGUUUCGCAAUUUCCACACUUUUAACCUAGCUUUAUUAGCCAAGCAAGCCUGGAGGAUAAUCAUUGAACCCAACUCCCUGAUGGCAAGGAUCCUUAAGGCCAAGUACUUCCCUGCGGGCUCGUUCAUAGAAACAGAAUUGAAACCAAACUCCUCUUUCUACUGGAGAAGUAUAAGUGGUGCCAGAGAAGUAAUUCGUAGGGGAAUACGAUGGAUGAUUGGGAAUGGAAAAUCAGUAAAAUUGUGGGAGGACCCCUAGAUCCCUUUGUCUUCCAACUUCCAUGUCCUCUCCCCAAAACUAGCAAAUUACAACCUGGAGUAUGUGGCGGAUUGGAUUGACCCUGUCUCGAAAUAUUGGAGGGUUGAUCUUUUCACUCCACUCCUAACUACUGUUAAGAUCGUCUAAUCCGUUCACUUCCCCUUAGUUUGGCUAGAGAAGAUUGGAGCCCUUGAGCCAUUUUCGGGUAAUUUGGCUACCUGUUGGAGCAAUAUCAAAGAAGAGGAAGCACUUGAAAGAUACAAGCUGAUAACAGGAAAUUCUGUUUUGUUUCCUGAAUUUCAAGUUUAUGGUAAUAGGAAUGUUGGAGAGGAUUGGCUGGGAGCUUCACCGGAUGGGGUGAUUGAUAGGCUGGUAUACGGAUUGUCUUCACGAUGACUAUUGGAGAUUAAGUGUCCAUUGAUAGGGCUGGAUCCCAGUUGAGACCGGGAUACGAGCGUGGACCUGUUUCAGGGUCGGGAGGUUCUGGCAUGAAUGCAGCAGCACUGAGCUUGACAAAGAAGAAGAAGAAGAAGAAUAAGAAGAAAAAAGAGAGGGGCGAUGUGGUGGUAGUGGGAUUUCAAGUGAUGAGUUCGAAGUAGCAGAGCAAGCUUGGAGUGGACAGACGAGAACUCGAAACGUUGGAAAACAUUGAAAUGGGAAGAAAUCUUGAAAGAUUAAGACGAGGACUUGAAAUCUAGAAAAGCUAGAGAGACUGUAUUCUCAGUUUUGUGCACAAAGGAGGUUCAAAUCAGUGGGUGAAAGAAUAAAACAUAGUGCCAAAGAGUCCCACAUCGACUACUCGCAAGGAAGUGAUGUGGUUUAUAUAGCUUCACUUGCCGGCAAGGUUUACAACCUUACUUGAACAGGAUCUGUUCUAUAGGAUCGUACCUAGGGCUGGUUCGGUAUGGGAUACCGAACCAAAAUGCAAGUCCCGAUUCCCAAACCGAAGUUUUCGGGAAUACCAAACCAAAUUUUCGGGAUUUCGGGAUAAUCGGGAAUCCCAAAAUAGUUUUGGGCUUUUGGGCUAUUGGACUAAAAAUUGAAGAGAGAAAUACUGCUUGAAGAAAGAAACAUGUGCAAAUACAUAAGCAAAAUGGGAACAUCAGAAAUUAAAGUAGAGAGGACCAAAGACAUUCAAUAUCAUAUAACCGACAGGACCAAAGAAGUUACAGUCAAUUCGAUUAUGGCAACAGAUUUAAAAUGUUGAUCAUUCUUCAUUCGAAAAGGCAUGAAUCAUGAUACAAUGAUCAUUGAUCAACAUAACACUAGAGCUCCUCUGUUGCUCCAGCCUAUCUUGUAAUUUUUAUAUUCUUCAACAUACAUUGCAGGCUGUUCUAAUAUGUAAUCUCGCAUACAUAAUAUAGUGAGAUAAAAUCAUAAAAUGGUAACCUUCAUCCAGAAAUAUUCAACAUAAUAAUCACUAUCUCAUUAAUAAGUACACAGGUUGCAAUAAGUACACAUUAAUAUAUCACAACCACAGUUCAGCAUAUAUCCAAAUUCCAAUCAAUAAAUAAAAUAAAUGGUUCAAAAAUCUGAGCAUUCAACAUAGAAAUAUAUGGUUGUGAGAAAAAGAACUCAAAAUAUAUAACAGAAAGAUAAGAUAGUAAGAACAAGCAAGAGUUGGAAAUCUUAAUGUAUAACAGAAAGAUAAGAUAGUAAGAGCAUUCAACAUAGAACAAUGUGGUAACCAUGUCAGGUAAAUAUCAUCUUGGCCGUCAUUUACUUGCCGCCUGAACCCCCCAAAUCAGGGGAAUAACAAGCAAGAGUUGGAAAUAUGCAUAAGUGUAGACAAAUCCUAUUGAUAUGCUAGGAUAACAUUCAUAAACAAUUUUGCCAUGCUGAUUAUUAUUUUGGUUUGAUAGACAUGUUUGAAAGCAUAUUAGAGGUGACGUAGGGCAGGACAAUAAAGAAAAUCUUCUCUAUUGGAUAACAAAUGAACAUCUCCAAUUCACUACCAAAAACCCUUUUGAAUCAAGUCGAGCACAGACACAAAUUUAGCUUUUUGAUAAUCUUAAUAAAUUUAACAAAUGGGUUAAGGGCUUAAGAGAUAGAGACUGACCUCCUUGAACAAAUUUCUUGUGCACCCGCUUGACGUGCUGAAGAUUUUCCAGCGGUGCAAUUUGGUUCAAACGCCUACACAAUUACAUCAACUUGGUCAAAAGAAAGAAAGAAUAAACAAGGCCAUUAGUAAAUCAUUUUAUAAACAUGAUUUACUGCUGGUUUCCAUUGAAUUCAACCUUAUGAAUUCUAACAUUCAACAACACAAACCAAACCUUAUCAAUGUCCUCCACAGCCAACAAAUUACACACAAGAGGACACAACUUUAAGAAAUUCCCAAACACUGUUUUAUCAAUAUCGCAAUUCUACAAAAACCCAAAUUCCCAAUUCGAUUAAGUUCACUUAUUACUAAGCAAAACACUUGCACAAAUUUAUAAACAAAUGCAACAAUAAAGGAUUAAAUUUGAUAACAGGGGCUGUUCCUUUGAGCAGAAAAUCCUCAUAAAAAUUGAAACUAUAACAAAAAUAAUAAAUCGAUUACUUGAUUGUAUAAUAACUCUGUACCAGGAAAAGUUACAACAAUGAAUUGGUCAACUGAAAGGAAAGGAACCCUAUUGGAAACUAGGACAGUGUUUUCUACUAUACCGGAUGGCAAUUGCUAUUACCAAAAAUUCUAGGAUGCUCCGGACUAGAUAUAUUCCAAAUUGUGUAAUUAUUAUAUCUUGAUUUUUGAAAAUUUUAACCGUUAAAAUAUCCGUUGUACACCUCCAUUCUCCGUAGUAGUUGUAGAAAUGCUUCAAUGCUGCCACAUAGGGGUGGGCACAGGCCGGGCCCCUAGUGGAAAAUAUUUUAAUGUGGAUUAAAGCCGCGAAAAACCCAGAACAGUUAAGGUAAUUCAUUCGGCUCCUACGGGUCCACAGGCCUUUUUUUUAGUAAAUUUUUUUAUAUUUCUUUGGUCCACAGGUCCACAGACCUUCUAUUUUUUUUUUUUUUUUUUUUUUUUUUUUGAGAAGAAACAAUUUUAUUAAAGAAAAGAGAAAAACACAGAAGUGGAUAAGAAGUCCACCAACAAAUUAGAAAGGAAAAUCCUAAUAGGAAUUGGCUACAGUAGCCAAUUCUAGACCAAGCUCACUUAACUGCUGCUAACAAAUCCCACAGUAUUUGAGAUAGAGAGCAAUUAUUAAACUCUUUAGUAACCGAAGCCCAAAAAGAUGCCCAAUAUUUAACUCUCCCCCAAAGUACUUUUGCCCCCACUCCAGUAUAGUCUUCAAAAAUCCUUUUGUUGCGUUCCAGCCAUAUAUUCCAGAAAAUUGCCGAUACCAGGCAACCCCACAAAGCUUUGGAUUUUUUCCCUUUUCCAAGUGCCUUGAAAUUGGUGCUUAGUAGCUCAAAACACCCUUUAGGAAUGACCCAACUUACUUUAACCUCCUGAAACAGUUUCCACCACAGUUGUAUCGAGUAGGAGCAAUGAAGAAAGAUGUGAUUUACACUCUCCUCCUUAGCUUUACAUAAACUACACCAAUGUGGGGAUAAACAUAUCAUAGGGUUUCUCCUUUGAAUUUUGUCGCAAGUGUUGAGACUCCCAUUGGCCACAAGCCAUACAAGUAUUUUAACCUUCGGAGGAACUUUUGAUUUCCAAAUCUGAGAGUAGGGUGGAUAAUAGUGCACAAUCCCAUUGUUGCUCAGUAAUGACCGAUAGGAUUUGCAUGUGAACAAACCUGAAGUUUCUAGGUUCCACCUUCUGUUAUCCAUUUUUGAUGGAGACAAGCGAACCACUUCCACUUUCUGUAAUAAGCUGGCCGCCUCUUCUAUCUCCAUCUCAUUCAGAUUUCUCCUAAAAUCAAAGUUCCAACUCAAGGAACUUGACGAAGCUUCCACAAAGCUAGAUAUGUUAUGAUUAUGCUUCCUCGAUAAUAAGAAUAAUCUGGGGAAUUGCUCCUUCAGCGGUCCCCCUACUAACCACCCAUCCUCCCAAAACCUAACCCUCUCUCCAUUGCCCACCUCAAACUUGCAACAACUAACUUUUUUUGAGGAGGAGGGAUUUGGAGAAGGCAAUGAUGAUUGUGAUUGUAAGGCUUGUGGUGAUUGUGGAGGACAUGGUGAUGUAGCCAUAGAAGAUGCUACACUACUAGGGGUGCUUUGAGACAUUAUGUACAACUUUCAAGUAAAUAUUACAUAAGAAUAUAAAGGCACCACGAAAGCAUUCAGAUGGCCUCAGAACCCUAAUUGCUACCACUCGAGUUAUAUGUCUCUCUCUAAUGACCAAUGAAAAAUAAAAGCUUGAAAAAAGUUUAACUUUUUUCCGUGGGCUAGUUCAUUUUAUAUUCUUAUGCUCGCACUAAUAUGAGAUUCAAAGUUUGAUUAUUGUUUUAGACCCCAAAUAUCCCACAAUCUCUACAAUCACAUAUGUGCAGCAGGGACGUCUCUUUCCCAAAUUUAAAAAAAAAGGAGCACAUCCAUGUAAAGCCAAAGAGUUCUUCAACAUAUUCAGAUCAAGCACAAUCAUUUUCCCUCACCGAACACAUAAUUAAGAGAACUUAAAAACCAAUACCCAUGAUAUCAUAACAUCAGACAGUAAUCAGGUGGAUUUUGUUGAAUUUACGGUCCAUAUUGAUUGUCUGAUUAUAAAACAUAAUAAUUACACAAAAUUUACCAUAUAAAUUAUGAGGAAAGUAUGUUUGAGCUACACAAUUAUGGAUACAGAACCGCACACCAAGUGUUUGACGAAAUGCCACAGUGAAACUACCACAGGAAAACAUACCAGUCCACCGUACAACAACUGGUAAAACAAUCAGGGCAGAAAUAUUAACAAUUCAAAAUUAAGCUAAACAUAAAUUUAAUUCAGCAAAAAUGUUAAUGAUCACAGCAAAAACAUUUCUGAUUCGAAAAAUUAAGAAAAGAAAAGUAAAGAUUUCUGGCAAAACAAUUAAGAUUAAUAUUAGGUGAUAAAAGAUUGAAUAAAAAGCGAAGAUUCAGAACCUGCAUGUACCUCUGAUCGCGAAGAAAGCAAGCCGAAAGCUAAUUCGCAGAGAAAGAUGGUGUGUUGUAUUUAUAUCUGGCUAGUAAAGAAGGAACCACCCCUAGCUAGUUUGGUUUCCAAGCAAACGGAGGCCAGGUAGUGUCCGUUGUGGAGUUCAGUCCGUGGCGUUCCCGUUGUGCAAGUUUUCUCUGUGGGCUUAUGGAUUUGUCUAAUAAAAAAGUAUUUGAAUUAGAAAUGGCCUUUUAAUGGAUAAAUGAU